AACCCAUGAUAAGGGCACCUUCUCAAUAGAUCCUUAAAUCUCUCCCUUGCAUCAUAUAAUGCUUCCAAAUCGAUUUGAGAAAAAGAAGAGAGAUCAUUCCUCAACUU
rfam:Gossypium hirsutum cultivar TM-1 unplaced genomic scaffold scaffold908.1, whole genome shotgun sequence